GGGGGUAUAGCUCAGUGGUAGAGCACCCGCAUACGUAUCGGAAGGUCGGCGGUUCGACUCCCUCUGCCUCCA
rnacentral:tRNA from 1 species